AGUACCGCUUUCUUCUUGGAUCCAACGGCUUAUUCACAGCCGUCAAAGUGCAAAGGACCUUGUUCUAGGUCAUAUUGAGGAAACACAAAAAUUUGGUGCCAAUGUCCCCUGGUUGGAUAUAAAGGUGGAUGAAGAUAUUCUGGAAAGAAUUUGCUCAGUUAAUAAUUUGGCUGGUGCUUGGUGGGCUAUCCAUGAAGCAGCUAGAUAUUGUAUUACAACACGGCUUCGAACUAAUCUUGGUGGGCCAACCCAAACAUUUGCGGCAUUGGAAGGAAUGCUUGUGGAAAUUGCACAUGUGCUACAGCUUGACAUUGAGCAAACUGAUGGAAAUCUGAGUAUAAUAGGAUCUUCUGGUGCUCAUUUGUUACCAAUGAGGUUGCUACUGGAUUUUGUUGAGGCCCUAAAGAAGAAUGUAUACAAUGCAUAUGAAGGGUCUGCUAUUUUACCAUCUGCUUCACGCCAGAGUUCAUUGUUCUUUCGUUCAAACAGGAAGGUCUGUGAGGAGUGGUUUUCUCGUAUAUGCGAGCCAAUGAUGAAUGCUGGAUUAGCACUACAAUGUCAUGAUGCUACGAUUCAAUAUUGUAGUGUGCGUUUGCAGGAGCUUAAGAAUCUUUGGGCUUCAUCUUUGAAGGAGAAGUCUAGACCACAUAUGUCUGAGAAUCUUCAUAAUAUCAGGGAUAAAUUUUCUGGAGACAUUUUGAGAGUUUUACGACACAUGGCAUUGGCUCUGUGUAAGAAUCAUGAACCGGAGGCAUUGGUUGGUCUACGACAAUGGGCUUCAAUGACAUUUUCUUCCUUGCUAGUGGAUGAGAACCAGUCUCUGAGUCAUAGUGGAAUGUUGGGCCCUUUUGCCUGGAUAACUGGUCUGGUACAUCAGGCAGAAGGCCAGUAUGAAAGAGCUGCUGCUUACUUCACUCACUUGUUACAGAAUGAGGAGUCACUCAGCUCUAUGGGUUCUGAUGGUGUACAGUUUGCUAUUUCACGUAUUAUUGAGUGUUAUGCUGCUGUAUCAGAUUGGAGAUAUCUAGAAUCUUGGUUAAUAGAGUUGCAAACACUUCGUUCUAAACAUGCUGGAAAGAGUUAUUCUGGUGCUUUAACUACAGCUGGCAAUGAAAUCAACGCAAUUCAUGCGUUGGCACGCUUUGAUGAGGGUGAUUUUCAGUCAGCUUGGGCUUGUCUAGAUUUGACCCCUAAAAGCAGCUCUGAACUUACACUUGAUCCUAAACUUGCCUUGCAGAGAAGUGAACAAAUGCUUUUACAGGCAAUGCUGCUCCAUCUUGAAGGGAAGGCAGACAAAGUGCCACAUGAAAUACACAAGGCCAAGUCGAUGCUGGAGGAAAUAUUGUCUGUUUUGCCACUUGAUUCUUUAACAGAAGCAGUGCCCCCUGCUACACAGUUACGCUGCAUCUUUGUAUUUGAAGAAUGUCACAAGCUUAAGGGCAAUCUGGUGAAUUCUAAGCAACAGCAAUCAAUAUUAAGUUCUUAUAUUGAGUCAGUGCAAUCUGUUAUGAAUAGAGUUCAUCAAGACUGUAAUCCAUGGUUAAAAGUUCUCCGGGUUUAUCAAACCAAUUUUCCAACUUCUCCAGUCACUCUAAAGCUCUGCAUGGAUUUAUCAAGUUUAGCCCGUAAACAGGGAAACCUAAUGUUGGCAAGACGUUUAAACAACUAUCUCAGGGAUCGUGUACUGAGUUCCUCUGAGCAAAGACAUAGUGAUUUCUUAUUGUCAAAUUUGCAAUACGAGGAUUUCUUGCUCAUGUAUGAGGAAAACAAGUUUGAAGAUGCUUUUGCAAAUCUUUGGUCAUUUAUCCGUUCUUGCAUGUUUUCUCCUGCAUCCAUAGUUUCUGAUUCAGAUGAUAAUAUUUUGAAGGCCAAAGCAUGCUUGAAACUUUCAGGUUGGUUGAGAAGAGAUUAUCUGGAUCUGAAUUUGGAGAAUAUUGUUCACAGGAUGCUAGCGGAUUUUAGUGUUGAUGAUAAAGCUUUGCUCAGCAGAGGUGGACCAUCUGUCAAUGAUGAGAACUUAAGUUCUAAACUGAGUCUGCGCAUUAUUGUUGAGGAAAUUGUAGGUACAGCUACAAAAUUGUCUACACAACUUUGCUCCAUAAUGGGAAAAUCAUGGAUUUCUUAUGCAUCUUGGUGUUUCAGUCAGGCUAGAGACUCUCUCUUAGCUCCAUGUGAAAAUGUCCUCCGCUCAUGCUCUUUCUCUUCUCUACUUCUUCCAGAAGUUCUGCCCGAAAGAUUUAAGUUGACUGAAGAUGAAAGAAGCCAAGUGCAGUAUGCUGUUUUGAAGCUUUUUAGGAAUGAGGGAGAUGCUUUCAAUGGUGAAGGGGGAGAGUGGAAACUUUGGUUUAAUUCUAUGCAACAUCCAAGAAUUAACAACCUUGUGGAGGCUUUGGUACACCAAGCAGUGGAUAUAAUUGAAGCUGCUGCUGGGGCACCUGGUGCAGAAAAUUCCAAUGGUGAGUCCCUUUCUGCUACUCUAGCAUCUCAGCUGCAAACCUUCCUAAGUGCAAAAGCUGGCCUCAAAGGAACAGAUAUCUCCACUGCGGUUAAUGAGUUAGUUAAUGUUUGGUGGUCUUUGAGGAGAAGACGGGUGUCUCUCUUUGGGUAUGCAGCUCAUGGUUUCAUGCAAUACCUGACAUACUCAUCUUUAAGGUUUUCUGAUUAUCAGUUGGCUGGCUCUGGGUGUGAGUCACUAAAACGAAAAACUGGCAGCUACAUUUUGAGGGCUACCUUGUAUGUGCUACACAUCUUCCUCAAUUAUGGAGUUGAGUUGAAAGAUACAAUUGAACCUGCUCUUUCAACAAUUCCCUUGUUGCCAUGGCAGGAAGUCACUCCCCAGUUGUUUGCUCGUUUAAGUUCUCACCCAGAGCAACUUGUUCGCAAGCAAUUGGAGGGUUUACUAAUGAUGUUGGCGAAGCAAUCUCCUUGGUCCAUAGUGUACCCAACACUAGUUGAUGUAAAUGCUAAUGACAAUAAACCUUCAGAGGAGCUUCAACACAUACUUGGUUGCUUGAGAGAGCUGUACCCGAGAUUAAUUCAAGAUGUUCAACUGAUGAUAAAUGAACUUGGAAAUGUUACUGUUCUUUGGGAGGAACUAUGGCUUAGCACACUUCAAGAUCUUCAUGCAGAUGUAAUGAGACGCAUAAAUGUGCUGAAAGAGGAAGCUGCACGAAUUGCAGAGAAUGCCACUUUAAGUCAGAGUGAGAAGAAUAAGAUAAGUGCUGCUAAAUACUCAGCCAUGAUGGCUCCCAUUGUGGUUGCUUUAGAACGCCGCCUGGCUUCAACUUCUCGAAAACCUGAAACUCCUCAUGAAGGAUGGUUCUAUCGGGAAUACAGAGAACAAUUAAAGUCAGCCAUUUGGACAUUUAAGACUCCUCCAGCUUCAGCUGCUGCACUUGGAGAUGUGUGGCGGCCAUUUGAUGAUAUUGCUGCAUCAUUAGCUUCCUAUCAGAGAAAGUCAUCAAUAAUAUUAGGAGAAGUUGCACCCCAACUGGCUUCAUUGUCAUCUUCUGAUGUUCCAAUGCCUGGUCUUGAGAAGCAAGUCACAGUAGCUGAAUCUGACAGAGAUCUGACUAUAACUCUUCAGGGAAUGGUUGCAAUUGCUUCUUUUUCUGAACAAGUGACUAUCUUGUCAACCAAGACAAAACCUAAGAAACUUGUUCUACAUGGUUCGGAUGGUCAAAAGUACACUUAUCUUUUGAAAGGGCGAGAAGAUCUGCGCCUCGAUGCCAGAAUCAUGCAGCUUCUGCAAGCUAUAAAUGGUAUAAUGGAUUCAUCUUCUGCAACUCGUAAGCAUUUGCUGGCUAUACGGUAUUAUUCUGUAACGCCAAUCAGUGGUCAGGCAGGCCUUAUCCAGUGGGUGGACAAUGUGAUAAGCAUAUACAGUGUGUUUAAGUCCUGGCAAAACCGUCUACAGCUAGCCCAGUUCUCAGCAAUGGGUCCAGGCACUGGAAAAAAUUCUGCUCCUCCACCUGUUCCUCGACCAAGUGAUAUGUUCUAUGGUAAAAUUAUACCAGCACUUAAAGAGAAAGGUAUAAGAAGAGUAAUUUCACGAAGAGACUGGCCUCAUGAUGUCAAGCGUAAAGUUCUUCUGGAUUUAAUGAAGGAAGUUCCUAGACAGCUGCUAUACCAAGAGCUUUGGUGUGCUAGUGAAGGGUUCAAAGCCUUCAGCUUAAAAUUGAGGAGGUAUUCUGGAAGCGUUGCAGCCAUGAGUAUUGUGGGCCACAUUCUUGGUCUAGGGGAUAGACAUUUGGAUAACAUUCUGGUGGAUUUCUGCAGUGGGGAUAUUGUGCAUAUUGAUUACAAUAUUUGCUUUGAUAAGGGGCAAAGACUAAAGAUUCCCGAAAUUGUUCCAUUCCGUCUUACUCAGAUGAUUGAAGCUGCUUUAGGAUUGACUGGAGUAGAGGGUACCUUCAGAGCAAACUGUGAGGCAGUUGUUGACAUUCUGAGGAAAAACAAGGACAUACUCUUGAUGUUACUGGAGGUCUUUGUUUGGGAUCCACUUGUAGAAUGGACCCGAGGGGAUUUUCAUGAUGAUGCAACAAUUGGUGGUGAAGAAAGAAAGGGCAUGGAAUUGGCAGUUAGCUUGAGUUUAUUUGCAUCCCGGGUGCAAGAAAUUCGUGUUCCCUUGCAGGAACAUCAUGAUCUCUUGUUGGCUACCUUGCCUGCUGUUGAAUCUGCUCUUGAGAGGUUUUCUGAUGUUCUAAACCAAUAUGAGCUUGCCUCUGCUCUUUUCUAUCGAGCUGACCAAGAGAGAUCCAGCCUUAUUCUUCGUGAGACAUCUGUGAAGUCGAUAGUGGCUGAAGCAACUUGUAAUUCGGAGAAAACCCGUGCAUCAUUUGAAAUUCAGGCUAGAGAAUUUGCUCAGGCAAAGGCUGUGGUAGUUGAGAAGGCUCAAGAAGCUGCAACUUGGAUGGAACAGCAUGGAAGGAUCCUUGAUGCUUUACGGAGCAAUUUACUUCCGGAAGUAGAUACCUGCCUAAAGCUUACUAAUAUGGCUGAUGCUUUGUCUCUUACAUCAGCUGUUCAAGUUGCAGGAGUUCCUUUGACCAUAGUUCCUGAGCCCACACAAGCACAAUGCCAGGACAUAGAUAGGGAAGUUUCUCAACUCGUAGCUGAGCUGCAUCAUGGACUCUCAUCUGCCCUAGCUGGAAUGCAAGUAUAUUCUCUGUCUUUGCAAAGAAUUCUACCUUUAAACUACCUUACCACUAGUGCAGUACAUGGCUGGGCACAAGUGUUGCAACUGUCUGCAAACGCCCUAUCCUCUGAUAUUCUCUCUCUUGCCAGAAGACAGGCUGCUGAAAUUAUUUCCACAGUACAAGGAGAUAAUCUUGAUUCUGUUAAACAUAGUCAUGCUGAUCUUUGUCUUAAACUGGAGAAAUAUGCAAUUGAGAUGGAGAAAGUUGAAGCAGAGAGUGCUGAGCUAGAGAGUUCUGUAGGCUUGGAGACUGAAUCAAAAGUUAAGGAUUGUCUUCUAUCUGCUUUUGUUAAGUACAUGCAGUCUGCCGGUGUUGUAAAGAAAGAAGAUGCUAGUUCUUUUAAUCAAUCAGGACAAUUAAAAUAUGAUGCGACCAGGGAUGCUAAGUUACCAGUGGAGCAGGAAGACAAGAAGGACAAGGUUCUAUCUGUUUUAAAUGUAGUUGUAAGUUCCUUGUACAAUGAGGUUAAGCAUAGGGUUCUUGACAUAUUUAGUGAUUCUGCUGGAGGAAGAAAUGCAAAUGGUAGAUUUGGAACUAUUUUCUCUGAGUUUGAAGAGCAAAUAGAGAAAUGUGUACUUGUAGUGGGGUUUGUUAAUGAACUGCAGCAAUUUAUUGGUUGGGACAUAGCUAGUGGGGAUAUAGAAGUAAGCCACGCAAAAAAUGAUCCUGAAAAAAACUGGGCUUCCAUAUUUAAAACCUCUUUGCUUUCCUGUAAGAGUUUAAUUGGGCAAAUGACUGAAGUUGUUCUACUGGAUGUGAUGAGAUCUGCUGUUUCAUUGAAUUCAGAAAUUAUGGACGCAUUUGGAUUGAUCUCACAAAUUCGGGGGACCAUUGACACAGCAUUGGAGCAGCUAUUGGAGGUUGAAUUGGAGAGGGCAUCCUUGGUUGAACUUGAAAAGAACUACUUUGUUAAGGUUGGUCUCAUUACUGAGCAACAGUUGGCUCUUGAGGAAGCUGCAAUGAAAGGUAGGGAUCAUCUUUCUUGGGAAGAGGCGGAAGAGCUUGCCUCCCAAGAAGAAGCUUGUAGGGCACAGCUGGACCAACUCCAUCAAACAUGGAAUGACAGGGAGAUGCGUACAACUUCUCUCAUAAAGAGAGAAGCUGACAUAAAAAGUGCCCUGGUUUCUUCUGAAUGCCAUUUUCAAUCUCUUAUUAAUACUGAAGAGAUGGGAGAGCCACACAUAUUAGGAAGUAAAGCACUGUUGUCCUUGUUAGUUAAGCCCUUCUCUGAAUUGGAAUCUCUGGAUAAGUCAUUGUCAAUUUGUGGUGGUUCUGUUAUUUCUCGUUCGGACGAGUUUUCUAAUUUGGCAGAUCUUAUGAGUUCAGGGUACUCAAUAUCUGAAUAUAUCUGGAAAUUUGGUGGCUUAUUGAACAGCCAUUCUUUUUUUAUUUGGAAAGUGUGUGUUGUGGAUUCUUUUCUGGAUUUGUGCAUACAUGAUGUUGCUUCAUCUGUGGAUCAAAAUUUAGGAUUUGACCAGCUUUUCAAUGUUGUAAAGAGAAAGCUUGAAGCCCAACUUCAAGAACAUAUUUGUCGAUACCUGAAGGAACGAGUUGCUGCUUCUUUCUUGGCUUGGUUGGACAGAGAAAAUGAGCGUUUGAAGCUAUUGGCAGAGACAACAAAGGAACUUCCUAUGGACCAACUGAAAAAAGAUGUUGGCAUUGUCAGGAAGGUCCAGCUCAUGCUUGAGGAGUACUGUAAUGCACAUGAAACUGCAAGAGCAGUGAGAUCAGCAGCUUCCACCAUGAAAAAGCACGGAAAUGAACUCAAAGAGGCUUUUCACAAGACUGGCCUAGAGAUUGUCCAAUUAGAAUGGAUGCAUGAUGCUUUAAUCCCUUCACAGAAGAGCAGAGCCAAAUUUCAGAAAUUUCUUGCUAUUGAGGAUAACCUAUAUUCCAUUAUCUUAAACCUCAGCAGACCUAAUUUGCUUGAAGGUAUACAAUCUGCUAUAAAAAAAUUGGCUAGGUCUAUAGAUUGCCUGCAAGCUUGUGAACGAAAUUCCAUUGUGGCAGAAGGGCAGCUUGAGAGAGCAAUGGGAUGGGCUUGUGGUGGUCCAACUUCCAGUAUGACUGGAAAUAUGUCUAAUAAAACUUCAGGAAUUCCUCCUGAGUUUCAUGACCAUCUGAUGAGGCGACAAAAAUUGCUAUGGGAAGCUAGGGAAAAGGCAUCAGAUAUUGUCAAAAUUUGCAUGUCAAUAUUAGAAUUUGAAGCAUCAAGAGAUGGGAUUUUUCGAAUCCCCGGAGAGAUUUAUCCUGUGAUGACUGGUGGUGAUGGCAGGACCUGGCAGCAAGCUUACUUGAAUGCAUUAACAAAAUUGGAGGUUACGUACCAUUCUUUUACAUGUGCCGAGCAAGAAUGGAAGCUUGCACAAAGCAGUAUGGAAGCUGCAUCCAGUGGCUUGUAUUCUGCAACUAAUGAACUAUGCAUUGCAUCUCUUAAAGCAAAGUCAGCUUCAGGUGAUUUGCAGAGCACUGUUCUUGCAAUGAGAGACUGUGCAUAUGAAGCUAGUGUUGCUCUAUCCGCUUUUGGUCGUGUAUCAAGGGGCCAUACUGCUUUGACUUCUGAAUCUGGCACCAUGCUUGAUGAGGUUCUUGCAAUAACUGAAGAUCUGCAUGAUGUUUAUAUAUUGGGAAAGGAGGCUUCUGCAGUACACCAUUCUCUUAUGGAGGAUCUUUCAAAGGCAAAUGCAAUCCUUCUUCCACUUGAAUCAGUAUUGUCUAAAGAUGUGACUGCCAUGACAGAUGCAAUGAAUAGGGAAAGAGAGACUAAGAUGGAAGUAUCUCCAAUUCAUGGACAAGCCAUAUACCAAUCUUAUCGUGUGCGAAUUAGGGAGGCUAUUCAGACAUUUAUGCCCCUGGUACCAUCAUUUACAUUAUCCGUGAAGGGACUAUAUUUGAUACUGAUGAGGCUGGCACGAACUGCAAGUCUUCAUGCUGGCAAUCUCCAUAAGGCUCUUGAAGGACUAGCAGAAAGCCAGGAUGUAAAAUCACAGGGAAUUAGUUUGUCAAGGGCGGAUCUUGAUGGUGGUCCUAAUGAAUUUGAUGACAAGGGAAGUGAUAGACUCUCUACUUCUGAUGGUGGGAGCACUAAAGAUUUCCUUGGUGAUACUGGACUCUCUUUGCAAGAUAAAGGAUGGAUUUCUCCACCAGACAGCGUAUGCAGUGGCAGCUCAGAAUCUGGAAUUACUGAAGCAAGUCUUGUGGAUAGCUCCAGUGAUCUGGCAGAAGUAAUAGGACAAUUUUCACAUAGCAGGGUUGUGACAGACUGUCUUAAUUCUGCGCCAUCUUCUCAAGCUCAUUACCAGGAACUUUCACAAUCUGGUCAGUUAAUAUCCAAAUGUGAGGAGGUGAACAAUAGUGAUAAUAGUUAUGUUACAGGAGCUAGUGAGUUAAAUGAACACCGAAAAUCUGCGGCAUUAUCAAGUGGUGAAGCUGCAACUGCCCAUGUUGAGUCUUUGCUACCUCUGAAUGAGGACAACUCAACACUGAAAUAUGAUGUUAAAGAUGAUGGCAUAUCCUCAUUAAGCAAAGUUAAGAUUGAAGAUGAAAAUCUUGAAGCUUCGCAUCCUAAUUCUCACAUUGGGAACAGAGUGGCCAGAGGUAAAAAUGCAUAUGCUAUCUCAGUGCUAAGGCGAAUUGAGAUGAAAAUAGAUGGUCGAGAUAUUGCUGAAAACAGAGAAAUUAGUGUUGGAGAGCAAGUGGAUUAUCUAAUUAAGCAAGCAACGAGUGUAGAUAAUCUUUGCAACAUGUAUGAAGGUUGGACACCUUGGAUUUGAACUUGUGAAGUCUGUGCUUUCUUGACAGAUCCUGAAUUCUAUGCAAGAAUGUCUGAGCAUGGUGCUGCGACAAUGAAUGGCUAGACACUGGUCUAGAACAUUUUCCUAGCUCAAUUAAGCUUCGGGACAUAUUGCCUACAGCCCUAUCCAUCUGGUUUCAGGACAAUGAAGAGUCGAUAGCACUCUUUUGUCAGAAAUUGCAAUCAAUUAGUCAUGAGCGCUUUAAGGGGUACUAUCCUAGUGUCUCCACUUGACCAAUGCCAUCCCCGUUGAGGAAUCAGAGACAGAAGGGGCACAGGGCAUAUCCCAAGCCUGCACGAGACAUGUAGCAUCUUAACCAUGCAGCAGCAUAUGCAGUGUAGACAGGAAACAUUAUGCCCUGCAAAGAUUCAACAAUCUCGCCAUCUGCUUCCAAGAGGGGUUUCAACUUUAACAGUUCAAAACUCUGUAGAUGGCAACAAGUGAAUGCAGAAUUCCAUGCAUUCAAGAGAUUCUCCGGCUUGGUGCCAGUCAGAUUAGUCGGCAUUGAAUUAAUGCUUCCCCAGAAGCAGUCAUCGUGCAACCCAGACCACCAACAUCGCUAUUGUAUUCGGUGUUUACCAAUGGGAUCUGAGUACCAUAUUAUUCUUAGUUCUUAUUCAUGUUGCUGUAUGAGAACCCUAGCUUUUAGCGCUUAACAAUUUGAAGUUAUAAAUGAUUGUCGGCAACUCUUUUUUUGUCCCAUUAUUUCAUUUCUUUUUGGCUCUUAGAUCUUUCUAAAUCAUUUUUUUAAAAAUUAAAG
rnacentral:misc_RNA from 1 species